CCCAUCUCUCUUCUCCUUCUCCUUCCGAGCGCCACGACGCUAGGUUUUGCUGCCGCCGCCAGCCUAGCCCGGCCGGCACCACCACCUCCUUCUCUCGCGUUCGGGCGUCCCUGCCUUGCCUGGACCGCCUCUCGACUCGAUCUCUCCCCUCUCUCCUCUUUCCCUCGACGGUGUGGGCGAGCAGGGAGACCGUGUGCCGACGGUUGAAGAGGAAGGUCGGCCUCAUCCAUACAUCUCCAAGCCCAGAUGCCCCACUUCCUCCUCCCCUUCCCCCGCCCCCACCCCCACCUCCACCUCCCCCUCCUCUUGCACAUCACCUGGGCGGCUGGGCCAUGGGAUCCCUGCACGCACAAACCUAGCUCCAAGCAGCUGCUGCACGGUGGGGAAUGGCAGAGGCUGAACGCGUGCAGCCCAUGACGCUGGUGCAGGUUGAGCCUCCCCUUCCACAGGGAUUCCUCUCCCUCUAUGGAUUACCAGACUUUCAGGAAUUACUGGAGCAACCACUGGACAUGAAACACCCAAGAAGGUGACACUAGGGGAAGGGCAUUUUAUGAUAUUAUAUGAGGAAAAAGUGCUAUAACAGUGCAGGUUAGAUUCUCCUUUUAAUGUUGUUGAUUUACAGUAGAUUGGGAACGCAUAAGUACAAACUGAAUAACUUUACUUCUUUUGCUUUUACAUAGAAGAAUUAGUGCUAGCAAAUUCAAAAUAAAUUUGCAAUGGUCUAGAUGAAGGUGCAGGAUAACAUAUAAUUGAUCGGGUGAGUGUCAGAUAUAGUGUCCUACAUUUGUGUUUUUUGAAACCAUGUCCUCUUCCUUAUCUUGCCGGCGCCUGUGGGUAAAUCUGAGAAAAGUUUGAUACCUGAACCAUAACUCAACCAAACUCACGUGAGCUAGCUUGACACUUGAACCUAAACUAAACCCACGAUAGCUCUCUUGACACCCAACCAAAACCAAACUUGCUGGGAAUUUUAACCAAACCAAACUGAACCAAGGCUUCAACCAUGGGUUGAAACUGUUUACAUAAAUAGGUUCAGAACCGUUUGAUUAAAUGGGUUAAGCACUAUAUUAACAAUCAACCAAAACACAACAAGCACACUGAACCAACUUACUGCUUCACUCAACUGGAGUUUGACAAUGACAUCUCAAACUGAAUAUACAUUACAAAGGACUCAUAUUCAGAAUUGAGCAUCAAGUCAACCUCUGACGAAAUGAAAUUAACAAAGAAACAACACAAGUAACCAGAGCAUCAGGAAUCCACAUCAUCUAAACAAAGAUGGGCUAUCAAAUAGACAAUCUAUGUAACAAGCUUGGCCAUGGCCACGGCGGCCGCUAGUACUCGGCGCAGAAGUUCACAUCCUUCAUGACAAAGAUCAUCACGCUGGCCGCGACACAAGCACCCGAGAACAUGAGAAUGGCCAUGACCUGCAAAAUAACAUGGACAUCAUUUCACUUCGAAAACACUUGCUUAUCACUGGAAGCCUAGAAUAUAUAUCAACGAAAAAUAGUGCCGGCAACUCCUAUUACAGGUUUUGGUGGAUUUAUUACGUGCUAGAUGAAAUGAACACACAUUCCUACAAGAACAGAGGAAGAAAUAGGGCAACAAGACCCGGCUGUGUUCCAGCCAACAAAUUCAAUGAACUUAUGACAUGCCUAUGGACUAGCUGAUUCAUCACUCCUUUAUUCAUCACUCACUUGUCAAGAGUGUCAUAUCAAACCAAAGUCCAAUAGUUCUACAUACUAGUCUUGGCAAUGUUUACUCGCUUAGCGACAGUGGUUUUGCUUGUCCAAUCACUAUAACGGAAAAAGGAGCAAGGCAAAGGCAAAUCGAUGAUCAGGAUCACAUUUUUACCUUUUCUUGGUUUCAAGUUUUUAGCCGUGUGCUUACUGUCCAUCUCCUGCAAAUGAAACAAAGGAUUAAUUUAAAGGCAUAUGAACACUUAUAUGCUGCAAGUUUUAUAUAUCACAUUUUACACAAGUAGUAGAACCAAAAUGUAAUUGGUUAGCUCACCCUCCUUUGGUUUGAACAACCAAUCUUUAGCACAAACAAGCACUUCUAGCAUAUCAGGGUUCAAAGAGCUUCUCUUGUCGCCUAGUAUCCUCUUACCACAACUGAAGGCUGAUUCAGAUGCCACUGUGCUCAAAGGAAUUGCAAGAAAGUCACGGGCCAUAGAUGCCAAUAUAGGAAACUUUUCGGCAUGCCUCUUCCACCAACCCAAGACAUCAAAGUCAUCACCGGCCUUCUCGGAUGCUUCUUCCAAGUACGCAUCAAGCUCGGAUUUGUGUACACGUGACCUCCGACGAGACUUGUGCUGGGCAAACUCUUCUUCCAACUUCCUUUUCCCUGCAAUAGGUGAUCCAAUAGUGGUAUUGCCUUGACUAGAAGGUGUCGAGUGUGCAGUGCUUAUCGUUGCAAGUAGCUCAUAUUCCUUGACAUACUUUCUCACCCAUUCUAAAGCAAUCUCCACUUGUUUUGUAAUCUGCUCCUCGUUGGUGGACAACCUGCAAUAGAAGAAAUCCAAGUAAUCUUCUUUCCUCCUUGGAUCAAGGAAUGUAGUAAUGACAAGUGCAUGGUUAAACUCAAUGCCCUUGCUUUUUCUACGACGGUUAGGAUCUGCAUUCUCCUUCUCCUCGGGAUCCCAAUAUUUAUCGAGCUUCGUUUGCAUCACUGUCGCCAACUCCUUCAACACAUCAGAGGUCUGCCAACCCGGAUCUUUCAAUGCAUGGCGAAUAGAAAGCACAACCGGCAGAAACUUAUGUGAAGUUGGCUUCCUGUGAGCUGAAACAAUCAAGGUAAGUUCUUCAAAAGCUUUUAGAAACUCGCAAAUAGCUUUUGCCUUCUCCCAUUCUUCCUCACUUGGAGACUCUAUCAUCUUUCUAUUGGCAUAACAAGUGAGGACAGAUUUGUACGUCAAUGCAUCUACAAGCAUUUUCCAGGUUGAGUUCCAUCUGGUUGGUGUAUCAACAGAGAUGCCUUUCUUUGCACAUAGACCCAUCCCACUUGUAAUUGUAUUGAAAUCUUGAAGUCUUGAAGGAGAAGAGUCAAUAUACUUCAGCAGUUCACGUAUCAUGUCAAUAGCUUCAUGGAUUACUUUCAUUCCAUCCUGAACCAAGAUAUUAAGAAUGUGCGCACAACACCUGACAUGCAAAUGUUGACCUUCAAGGAGCAGCUCAUGUUUGUGAUAUUUUAUUAACUCCUCACAUGCAUUAGUAUUAUUGCUGGCAUUAUCUAGUGUCAAAGUGAAUAAUUUGCCCCUUAUGCCCCAUUCUGUUAAGCAACGAACUAUUUCUUCUUCUAUCGCAUAGCCUGUGUGGGGAUACUUCACUUCUGCGAAACUUAUGGUCUUCUUGUAGUUGAAUUCUGCAUUGAUAUAAUGGGCGGUGAUGCACAUGUAGCCCAAGUCCUGUGAUGAUGUCCACAUGUCAGAUGUUAAGCAAAUGCGAGAAUCCAAAUUUUCUAGCUCUACUUCAAUAUCUUUCUUCAUUCCCUUAUACAUCUUCACUGCAUCAUCAUGAAUUGUGUGACGACCCUUGAUUUGAAACGCUGGCUGCAUUGAGUCAAUCCAUGGCUGAAGGUGGGGAUCUUCAAACUUAAGAAAGGGGAUCUCAGCAUGGACGCAAUACUUGACCAUGAGUUCACGACAAACUUUUUCAUCAAACACAAACAGACCUUCGGAUGGUUUUCUUUUCGGUCAACAAAAACCUCUUCCUGCAAGCCUCCUGAAUUGAUCGGCAAGCCUCUGCAAUAUGGGUCCUCAAACUGCUAGUCCCAAACUUGGUGUGAAGUUGCGCUCCACAGUAUUUGCACACAGCCUUGAAAUCACCAUCUACGAGAACCAGAUCUACUUCAUAAUGCUCCCAUACCUUGGACCUUCUAGCAUGUGGUACUUGACUCGUAUUCUCAUCCAUGGAAUCAACACUCUCCGAACCCUCUGAUGUAGACAUGCCUCAAAUUACUAGUGAGUAAUUACUAUAGUGACUGAUCGAUCGGUCGAGUGGUCUGGGUUGGUGUGUUUUUCCCGUCCUUGGUGCGUGGCCUGUGAAUGCAGAUGCAAGGUGCAAGCAGGUUAAUACUAGUACUAGUAGCAGUAAAAGUUAAUGCAUGUAAAAUAAAAUAAACGACAAAAUCACUGGGAAUAAAUGUUUUGGAUUUCAAAUCUCAAAAUAGAUCAACCAACAUCAAGGUUCGAUAAUCUACAUGGCAAAAAAUUGACUUAAAAUUUUCAGUCCCAAACUCUGAACAUGCAAAAUAUUUUUUCUUAGUUGAUAAGGUCCACUAACUAAGUACUUCCUUCUUAUCUCAACAAUCAAAAUUUAGAAAACCCUGCAUAACGGUCCAGAGCAUAAAAAGAAGUCAUAGGAGUGCUAAGAACAUUUUAUUUUAUUUUAGUUCCUCUGCCGACAGGAUAAGAAGAUGUUGGGUUUAGUACAACGUACAUAUGCCGACAUUAAAGUGCUAUAGAGCAUAGUCUACAUAAAGAAGUUCACGCCUCAUAUCUCAACAAUCAUCCCAAUCUUAUUAUGGCAAAAUAACCAUUAUGAAGCUACAAUGUGAGUAUAAAAUAGUAAGAAUCAGUGGUAAACAGUCCGCUGUCCAGCCCAGUAUGUGAUUUAAAUGACGAACAUGUGCAGACCAAAUGAAUUACACAACAAAUCAUCAUACAAUUUGCUGCUGCCAUGAUCAAUAUGAGCCAAAGUUUGCACUGCUUAUUUUGUGAAGGAAUAACAGUUUUCAAUCACAUCAAUGGAGUGACUGAUAAAGUGGUUCUAUUUUUAAAUGAUCUUAGUACCUUGUUCGGUAAAUCAUUAAAAAGCGCUUAUAAAUCACUGCAGAAAGGAAAUAAAACAUUGGCCAACUGAGAAGCUAUUAGGAAAAAAUGGGUGAAGGAUAUUGCUAUUGACUUAUCUUAGUACUCCUUAGUACAUAAAGAAAAACUUGAAUACAGAAUACCACUCCCUAUAGUUUGUACAACAAUGAGAAAAGUUACGCAUCAGAGAUUCAGAACAGACUUCAUGCUAGAAAUUGACCAUGACAACUUAUGAGAAGGCAGUAAACUAGCAGAGGUGCUGAAUGCGCAAAAUCGUCGAAAGAUGUAAAGAGGUUUCGAGGAUGAGUACCAUCCAGGUAUUAUGGAAUAGCAAGUUUGCUCUUUAACUAGACAUAAUUUUCCACGUGAUAUUGUUUCCAGUAGUUUGCAAACUGUUGGAUGGAACUCUGCAAUUCUGUAGCUAUGAACAGCUAGCUGUAAGCGUGAAUUCAACUAAUGCCCAAGCUCCACAGAUGCAACUACCGAUGGCAACAUUCAUAACCGGCGCUUGGCAUGAGCGCCGCCGGAGCACCGCUCCACAUCCACGACAAAGCCAAACAACAAAGCGUCACUCGCCUCUCACAAAUUGAAACUGAACCGAAAAUGUAUAGUCGUACAGAGAACAAAUUGAAGUGGUUCUUUGUUGAGGAGCUGUGGAAUCGACCUGGUUGUUGCUGUUGUUGUUGCAGAGAAGGAGGGGACCAGCAGGGGCACCUUGCCGGCGUUGCCGCUGGAGCACCUUGCCGGCUUGCCGCCGGAGGAGCAGGACCUGGUCAACAGGAGGAGCCGGUCAGAGAGAGAGAGAGAGAGAGAGGCGGGAGGGGGGGGGGGUACCUGCUGGCGGAGGGAAGGUGGCACAACGGAGACGACCCGGCGGUCCUCAACCCUAGCAGACGGGGAGAGGCGGCGGCACCAAUGGGACGGCCAACUCGGGGUAGCUCAUGGUCGGAUAUUCUGUGCCAAGGAGGGGGCGGCGCCGGAGGGAGACGGCGAGGCGGCGAUGCAACCACGCAAGGAAGGGGGCGGCGAGGGGAAGAGACAGGGGGCGGGGGCGGCGCGGGGGAAGAGACAGGGGCAGCGUGUGGGAGCCUGAGAGGCAACGAACGAGAAACUGGACGCAGCGAACCGGGUUGUACCCACAGUUUGUAGCCCAUAAUGCAUCAAAUGGUUUCAGCCCAUAACCAACUAUACCCAAAUUGGUCCUCUCAAAACCGAAACCAAACCAAACUUAAGAAAGCCUCAGCCCAAUAAGACAUAAACCAAUCACGCCCAUAAUAAAAACUAACCCAUUUAAACCAAUUUUUCUAAAACCACUGCCAGAUUUACCUGUGGGAGAAGGGGAGAGGGGGGCAGCAGACGUUCCUGCCGUGCUUUGCUGUUGGUGCAUCCGUGGAGGAGGGCUGCCCUGUUGUUUCGUUGCUGACGGGUGUGCGCUGCCGCUCCUCUGGCUUGCCGCUCUUCCGCAUCAGAUUCUUCAUGUUUCUUCUCUUCGAGAGGGGGGGGGGGGGGGCAGGGCUCGGUAGGGACGGCCGUCUGCUGCAUCCGUGUCGGCCGUGUUGCCUUACUCCGCAGCAGGUUGUAUUUCCUCUUCUCUUUGUCUUGGUUGCAGUUGGUUCUCUUCAUCUUCCUUCGUUGAGGCAGGCUGCAAGUUCCAAUCCCCCCAACUUUUCACUGUCUCCCAAAUCGCCGACGCCGCGUCCUUUGAUCCUGGCUGCCUCCAGCAGGUUGCUGUCCAUGCCGUCUCCCUCGUUGUCGCGUCUUGCAGACUGGCGCGUCCCAGCAGCCAGUUUCUCCUCCCAUCUGCUGCCCUCCUCCAGCCCCCCCUCCUGGUCGCACCUCCAUCUGCUCAAAGUCCCUCCCUCUGAAUUGGCGGGUGUGAGUUUGAUACUUUGAUUCAUGCCGAAGUUUGGUAGACUCUGAUAUGGACCAUGGUGGUGGUCAAUUUUGUCCAUUGAUCCAAGCGUAAGCUUACGCAUGGCUGAUUGCAAGGUGAGCAUACAUAGUUUUUUCCAUGAUCUUUUGAUGAGUGGAUGUUUGUCAAUCAUGUAGAAAGUGUAUACUCAACGAAACAAAAAUGCCAAAGUGACCUUUAGUCCCUUGUUUUAACAAAAAAGUGUAUGAAUGCUUGACUGUGUAUUAUCUGUGUGAAGUAAACUGAUCGACAACUAAAUGAAGUCGCAACAAUUAUUUUCUUGAUAUCACAACCUGUGAAAGAAAAGCGCAGUUAUUCGCCGUUAUUUGGAUACAUAUAGUACACAUAUUAUUAUAGUCUACUAUUGCAAAUUGAUAAUAUGACAUUAUAGUCUACUAAUAUGACAUUAUAGUCUACUAUUAAGAUGAUGAUUGUUCUACUUCUAAAUAUGAAUAUUGAUACUCCUCAAGGGUAUAGUUGUUUCGAAGAUUGAAGAUAGGAUAUCAGAGUUAUAUUCCAAAAGGAAUCGUUUGUCGCUGCAGGACUACUAUUUUGUAAUUCUAUGUAAUGUGUGUUGGUUGUUUACAUUCUUAGUGUUUCAGAGUAUCCAGGUUUUGAAGUAUGGGGCAAACCAAUGUGGCCAUAACAAGUAUGAAACCAACGACACUGUGGUGGCAAUAGGCUUAUAGCCAUUUAUGUUUUGUAGUUAAUCAAUGUACAUGAUGUUAAACUUCUGGAUCUUGUGUUAUUUUUGGAAUAAUCUGAAUCUUAAUUAUUUGCACUAUCCUGGACCGCGAAAAGGGCUCACUAUGUUGUGAAAUACAGCUAUGAACCCACAGUUACUAUGAUGUUGAGGUUUUAGUUGUACGAUAAUCUGGUCCUUCUGAGCAUAUGGCCUGAUGCAAGUUGCAAAUGUGAUAACUAAACAAUAGGUUGCUCAAAGUUGUUCUAACUCUUUUUUUCUCAAGGUUAUGGAGAUGUCCUGAUUGAUUGGUAGGACUAGGGUUCCUACCGGCUCUACUCCUUAGGUUAUAAGGGCAUGACAACGGAGGUUGGGGGCGAGGGCGCGUGUGUCGGCACGUAGGCGCCGUCGUGAGGAAGGAGGAGGGCGGCAGCGGUUAGGGUUGGCGGCGGCUAGGGUUCCGGCUCCUCUGGGAGCCGGGCAAUAGGGAUAGAAAAUAUGUUUAUUGCUUCAUUCCAAAUAGAGUCUUACAUCCUAUAUUUAUAACCUAGAUAACUUGCAUAAUAAUUAACCUAAGAUAACUUGUGGGCCAAGCCCCUAACUACUGCCCAGUGGGCCUCCUCUGGUUAUAAGCUAAACCGGUUAUAACAUCUCUCCCCGCCUGCGCAAACAGCUCGUCCUCGAGCUGAAAGUCUGGAUAGUGUUGGCGGAAGUCGUCACGCUGCUCCCAAGUAGCCUCCUCCUCCGGAAGGCCCGCCCACUGGAUCAGAAUGAACCACACCCCGUGACGGAGUUGCGCCCGCAACACCUUCUCCGGCUCCGAAAGAAGACGUCCGUCGGCAGUCGGAGGCAGCGCAGGUGGAGCGCCCGGUGGCUCUCCACGAAAAGGCUUGAGCAGCCCCACAUGGAAAACGUCGUGGAUGCGAGCACCGGUCGGAAGCUGAAGGCAAUAGGCCACCCGCCCAAUGCGUUCCAAGACGGCGAAGGGCUCGGCGUAGCGAGGGCCGAGCUUGCGCUUCGCGCGCGGGUCUAGCGACUGCGUAGAGCGGUGGAGAGGACGCAACCACACCCAAUCACCCACCGCGAACUCCGCCUCGCGAUGGUUGCCGUCGUAGUAAUGCUUGGCCAGCUGUUGGGCCUGGAGGAGACGCUGACGGACCUCAGCAAGUAUCUCGUCACGGGUGUGAAUAAGCUCGCCUGCGGCCUCCGUCCGCGUCGUUGCCGGGUCCACCGACAAGAUAGGCGGCGGUGGCCGACCGUAGACCACCUCAAAUGGUGUAGCACGCAGCGCGGAGUGAUAGGUGUUGUAGCAGUACUCCGCCCACGCGAGCCAAUCCACCCAAGCUCGAGGGCGAUCACCUGUAACACAGCGCAAAUACAUGGCAAUCACCUUGUUAACCACCUCUUAUUGUCUGUCCGUCUAUGGGUGGAAGGCCGUGCUCAGGCGGAGCUUGACGCCCGCCAUCCUGAAGAGGUCGUGCCAAACAUGGCCGGUGAACACCGGGUCCCGAUCACUGACGAUCGAAGAGGGGAACCCGUGAAGACGAACGAUCCCUUCGAAGAAGGCACGAGCCACGGACUUGGCAGUAUACGGAUGCCCCAGCGCGAUGAAGUGAGCAUACUUGGAGAAGCGGUCGACCACAGUGAGAAUGAUUGAUUUGCCGCCCACCUUGGGGAGGCCCUCGAUGAAGUCCAUGGAGAUAUCUGCCUAGACCUGAGACGACACGUCCAAAGGCUGAAGCAGACCAGCCGGCGUAAUGUCUCUGUCUUGUUGCGCUGGCAUGUCAUGCAAGAUCGCACCCAGUCACGGACCAAGGCGCGAUCACCAGGAAUGUAGAAGUCGGCGCGUAGACGAUGGAGGGUCUUCUGCACACCCUCAUGACCAGCCGAGUGAGCCAGCUAUAGGACCUGGUGACGGAGAUCAUCAUGUGCCGGAACAAAGACGUGGCGCCCAUGGAGGAGGCCGUCAGUGAAACGCCAAUGCUCCUCCAGGUCGCUGGCAGCUAGCUGCUGCCGAAGGAGGACAGCGUCGUCAGCGGUCGCCGUCGCCCGGCGAAUCUCGGCAAAGAGGCCGAAAGUGGGCUCGGAGCGGAUGCACAGCGCCAUCCCCUUGGAGGCGCCGUCGGUGGAGUUGAGGUUGGCAUCGUGGCGUGGCAAGGCGUCGGCCACGGUAUUAAGACGACCCGGGCGAUACUCGACGAAGAAGUCGAAGCCAAAGAGUUUGCUAAUCCACUGGUGCUGCGGCACGGUCGAGAGCCUCUGGUCCAGCAAGAACUUGAGAUUGUAGUGGUUCGUGCGAAUCUGGAAAGAUCGGCCCCAUAGAUAGGGCCGCCAAUGGCGCACGGCCUGCACCAAGCCAAUGAGCUCCCGCUCGUACGCCGCGAGCUUAAGAUGGCGCGGAGCGAAGGGCCGGCUGAAGAAGGCGAGAGGACCAUCACCCUGAUGAAGCACGGCGCCGAACCCCGCACCCGAGGCGUCACAGUCCACCACGAAGGGGCGGUCAAAAUCCGGCAUCUGAAGAACGAGCCCCGUCGUGAGGGCCCCCUUGAGGGCCUCGAAUGCCGCUGUCGCCUCCUCGUCCCAGGAGAAGGCGUCGUGGUGCAGCAACCGCGUGAGGGGCGACGCAAUGAGGCCGAACUCCCGGAUGAACUUCCGGUAGUAUCCGGCGAAGCCGAGAAAACCGCAAAGAGCCCGCGGCGAGUGCGGUGUCGGCCAGGCUGCGACGGCCGCCACCUUGUCGGCGUCCAUAGCCACCCCGUCGGUCGGGAUGACAUGGCCGAGGUAGGCGACGGAAGGCGUCCCGAACGAGCACUUCGAGCGCUUAAGAUGAAGAUGGUGCGUCCGAAGCUCGUUGAAGACGAUGGUGACGUGCUGGAGGUGCUCUGCCCAAGAGGCGUUGUAGAUUAGAAUAUCAUCAAAGAAAACGAGCACAAACCGACGUAAGUAGGGCCGGAGGACGUCGUUCAUCAGGGCCUGGAAGGUUGUCGGGGCGUUGGUGAGGCCAAAGGGCAUCACCAAGAACUCGAAGUGGCCAUGGUGAGUCCGAAACGCCGUCUUGGCGAUGUCAUCUGAGUGCAUGCGCACCUGGUGGUACCCCGACCGGAGAUCGAGCUUGGUGAAGAAGCGCGCCCCGUGUAGCUCAUCCAGGAGCUCAUCAACCAUCGGAAUAGGGAACUUGUCCUUAAGCGUAACAGCAUUAAGGGCACGGUAGUCGAUGCAGAAACGCCACGUGCUGUCCGACUUGCGGACAAGAAGCACUGGCGCGGUAAACGGCGAGGUGGAGAUCCGGAUGAUGCCUGCCGUGAGCAUAAGCGCACACUGCCGCUCCAACUCGUCCUUCUGCAGCUGCGGGUAGCGGUAAGGAUGCACCGCCAUCGGCGCGGAUCCCGGCAAGAGAUGUAUACGGUGAUCAUAUGCCUGGGCGGGCGGAAGACCCUGUGGCUCGGUGAAGAGGUCGCCGUGCUGUUGCAGAAGGUUCUCCAAGAGCGGAUGCUCGGCCUCGGAGGUGGUUGCGGCCAGCUGAAGCUGAGGUGGUGCGGGCGUGGAACCCCCAACGCCGUCCCACUGAAUGCGGCGGCCCAAGCGCCAGAAGGUCAUCGUCAGCGCGUCGAAGUCCCCAAAGAAUGGGAUCGAGAGUCCGUAAAAAGUCGACGCCAAGGAUGAAGUCGAAGCGGCCCAAGUCGAUGCCCGCACAGGUGAUGGAGAAGUGUUCCCCGCCGAUGGUGAUGGGGAUGUCCCGCGCGAGGCCAUGACACCGGAGGCGAUCGCCGUUUGCCACCGUGACCCGAAGUUGCUCCCCGCCCGUCGGCUGAAGCGCUAAGCGAUGCAUGGUAGCCUCGGGCAGGAAGUUAUGGGUGGAGCCUGUAUCCACCAAGGCCACCAAGAGCUCGCUGUGGAUCGUCACCGGCAAGAGCAUGGUCCGCUCGUCAUGGAUCCCGGUGAGCGCGUGGAGGGAGACCACGAGGGCAGCCGCGGGUGCGCCCUCAGCCGCCGCUGGGGGUGGUAGUGCCGCGGCCUCAUCGGCCAAAGCGUCUCCCUCGGUGAAGUCGAUCGUCUCCAAGUAGAAGAGGCGCGGGCACACAUGUGUCGGCGUAUAGGGCUCGUCACAGUUAAAGCGGAGGCCCUGGCGCCGCCGCUCCAUCUGCUCCGUUGGAGAGAGGCGCCGGAAGGGGCGCGUCGUGGCCGAGGUAGUGGGCGCCGGUGUGGCCGGGGGCGGCCGGCCUGGUGCAGGAGGCGGGUGGCUGGUCUUCCAGCCUCCUCGGGCCGGGGCAACCGGCAGCAUGGCCUGGGCGCGAGCCUCGGAGGCCCGGGCGUAAUACAUGGCUGUUUGGAGAUCCUGAGGGCCGCGAAGCUCCACGUCGACGCGAAUGUGAUCCGGGAGGCCACCAACAAAGAGGUCGGCGCCGCUGCGCCGUCACGCCCGGCGCAUGGCACGCCAAGGCCUGGAAGCGGUCGGAGAAGUCCUGCACCGUAGAGGUGAAGGGAAGGCGGCCGAGCUCCGACAGGCAGCUCCCGCGAACCGGGGGCCCAAAACGGAGGAGGCAUAGCUCGCGGAAGCGCUCCCAAGUAGGCAUGGCACCCUUGUCCUGCUCGAGAGCGUAGUACCACGUCUGUGCCGCGCCGCGGAGGUGAUAAGAGGCAAGCCAGGUCCGCUCCGAAGCGAGUGUGCGCUGCCCGCGAAAGAACUGGUUGCACUGGUUGAGCCAGUUGAGGGGGUCCUCCGUGCCGUGAUACGUGGCGAAGUCGAUCUUGGCGAACCGCGGCAGUGCCUGGGCGGGAACGCCGUGGCGAGCUGGCUCGAAGGUGCGGAGCAGCGAGGCGGGUGGCGCCUGGUCGGAGUACUCCGGGUAGGGACCGGCGGAACUAGAUGGCCCCCCAAACUGCGGGAACGGAGUCGGCUGUUCGGGGGCCAUGGUGUAGACUGGCGAAGACGAAGGCCCAGCCGCCCACGCUGGAAGUGGCGACGGGGAGGCCGGGAACGGGACCUGAUGAAUCAGGAGGCCGGUCGGCGAGGGUGCGCCCGAGCUAGGCAGGGGCGGUGCCGGUGGUUGUAGCGUCGGUGGCGGGGGUGGGCGGGGGCGUCGGUGGCCGGGGGGGGGGGUGGCGGCAAGUACCACAGAGGGGCCGCGGCCGGCGUGGUCCCGUCGGGGUGUCCCGCCUGGAACGGCAGCAGGGGCUGCCCGGUGCAAGUCGGCGCGGAGAACGGCUGCAGCUGUCCGGUGGCCGCCGCCUGCGGCAUCUGCUGUAGCGGCCAGGGGCCCGAAGACGUCGUCGGCGCCAAGGGCCAGAGGGGCGCCGCGGCAGCCGGAGGGCCGCCUGGAGCGGCAGCAUCAGAGGGGCGCCGUACGGGGAGACGCCCUGGGGCGGCCACGGCGUGUGGCCGUAGGCGGCCGCGGCCGCCGUCGGCAGGGGCAUGUAGGGCCCAGCCGCGUACUGCUGCUGCUGUAGGUGGAGGCUCUGGACGGCGGUGACGAGGUCCCGCAGGGUGGUCGUGACCUGCUCCGGUGUGAAGACGGCGGACGGCGGUGGCGCAGGAAGAAUCGUGGAUGACGGCACGGCCGGGGUCGCGGUGGAGACGGGGCCCGCCAGCGCGGUUGACCCGGCGUCGUUGGCGCGGUGAGAGACGGCGCGGUGGAGCCGCUGGAAAGCGCCGGCGGUGGUGGUGGCAGCGACAUGAUCAGAACUUGGUCUCUGAUUACCAAAUUGGUAGGACUAGGGUUCCUACCGGCUCUACUCCUUAGGUUAUAAGGGCAGGACAGCGGAGGUUGGGGGCGAGGGCGCGUGCGCGUGCGCCGGCGCGUUGGCGCUGUCGCGAGGAAGGAGGAGGGCGGCGGCGGUUAGGGCUGGCGGCGGCUAGGGUUCCGGCUCCUCUGGGAGCCGGGCAAUAGGGAUAGAAAAUAUCUUUAUUGCUUCAUUCUGAAUAGAGUCUUACAGCCUAUAUUUAUAACUUAGAUAACUUGCAUAAUAAUUAACCUAAGAUAACUUGUGGGCCAAGCCCCUAACUACUGCCCAGUGGGCCUCCUCCGGUUAUAAGCUAAACCGGUCAUAACAUUGAUAAGUAUGCUGACAAAGCAAUAUGGAACAAGGUUGUGAACAUCCAAACAAUGCAAGCAUCGGUUUUCUGGUUGUGUGCUACAUCUCCUGCAUACUGUUUCUAAUACCAUUCAAAUGCAGUUGAUUGCUACAUGGUGAUGUUUUCUGCAUCUUUUGUUUCAUCGGUUCUUAAUGUUUGGAAGGGACUUGGAUUUCCAUGUAUGGGGUAGAUGCUUCUAUUAUCAUCAUGAAUUUUUUACAUAAGAAUUUUAUUAAUUAUUAAAUGCUAUACUUUGGGCCUGUGUGAUGGUUAGACAGUGGUCUUGAAGGUAUUUUUAGCUUUCUAGACGGCCUUCAUAGUUUAUUUCUAAUGCUACUGGUGGUUGUUAGGAUUAGCUCAUGAUCUGUUGUGUGUAGAUGUUCAUCUAUAUACAUGGGACUGAGGGAUGUGAUCUGAUCUUUUAUUUAUGAUUUUUUUAAUUAGCAAGCCCGACGGUCUCCAUUCCAAGGUUAGUGCUAUCUUUUUUUUGUUGGUAAGUUGUGCCGUGCUGAUUUCCGUUUUAAUUAGUAGUAUCUGAGACAGUGAUGACUAUUAUCUCUUUGUGCUAAGUUGGAGUCAUGUGGAAAUCAUUAUUCAUUUUCAUUUUGGUUGCAAGCAUGGCAAUACGAAAUGAAGAAGAAUAUGACAACACAGUGCAAUGAAGUGCUUGUGAAGAUAUGAAGAAUCUAUCACAAGGAUUGUGUUGUUCAAAUGAGAUGAGAGAAACACUAUGGAGAUGCAUAUGGGGAACUUCUACUUUGUCGCAUCUCUUAAUGAUGUCCUGCUUUUUUAGUUCACUUCUUUUAAUCUAUUAAUUUCUGUACAAUUUCAUGCAUCCAAUAUUAAACUUGUACAUGUACGAUUCUGUCUAAUGGUCGUUCCGCACUUGUGCACCUGGGACAUGUUUGCUGCAGUAAAACUUUAGCUCA